GACGAACGCUGGCGGCGUGCCUAAUACAUGCAAGUAGAACGCACAGUUUAUACCGUAGCUUGCUACACCAUAGACUGUGAGUUGCGAACGGGUGAGUAACGCGUAGGUAACCUGCCUGGUAGCGGGGGAUAACUAUUGGAAACGAUAGCUAAUACCGCAUAAUAUUGAUUAUUGCAUGAUAAUUAAUUGAAAGAUGCUAUUGCAUCACUACCAGAUGGACCUGCGUUGUAUUAGCUAGUAGGUGAGGUAACGGCUCACCUAGGCGACGAUACAUAGCCGACCUGAGAGGGUGAUCGGCCACACUGGGACUGAGACACGGCCCAGACUCCUACGGGAGGCAGCAGUAGGGAAUCUUCGGCAAUGGACGAAAGUCUGACCGAGCAACGCCGCGUGAGUGAAGAAGGUUUUCGGAUCGUAAAGCUCUGUUGUAAGAGAAGAACGGGUGUGAGAGUGGAAAGUUCACACUGUGACGGUAUCUUACCAGAAAGGGACGGCUAACUACGUG
rnacentral:rRNA from 1 species